GAGGGUCUGUAGUGAAUAGGUAGAAGAAAGAGAGAAUGAAAGAGAGAGUGGAUGCAUGGCAGUAGCUGUGUGAGCAAAUGAAAGACAGGGGGAGUAAUUUACAGUAAGCUAAGUUACAGGAGGGGAGGAGGGGGUUACAGGUGUGUUUUACUGGAGGGGAGGAAGGAGUUACAGGUGUGUUUUACCGGAGGGGAGGAGGGAGUUACAGGUGUGUUUUACUGGAGGGAAGGAAGGAGUUACAGGUGUGUUUUACUGGAGGGGAGGAAGGAGUUACAGGUGUGUUUUACUGGAGGGGAGGAGGGAGUUACAGGUGUGUUUUACUGGAGGGGAGGAGGGAGUUACAGGUGUGUUUUACUGGAGGGGAGGAGGGUGUGUUUUACUGGAGGGGAGGAGGGAGUUACA
ensembl:lncRNA